GUGCUUCUUUGAUAACACAUAUGUUAAAACUGGCACAAUAUAGGCGAGAUUAACAUCACAGGAGACUGGCCCCUGCACAAGGAUAACAUGCAAAUCUGUGGACUAGGACAUGGACAC
rnacentral:snRNA from 1 species